GCUCUUGGGUAAAUGCCAAACUCCCAAGGAAGCCGCGGAGGCCCGGCUGGGUACUCUGCCUGCAGAGGUGGGGCCUGGGAACCAGGAAGAUGGAGAAGAAGAAUCGCACUGGGGGACACUGACCUGAUCCCUCAGAGUCGAUUGGGACACCUGGAAAGGGAAGUGGCUGUCCAGGAGGCCAGCAAACACAAGGCUGAAAAAUCAAGGGCCCAUAAGCUCAUAAUGAAGACAGUCCAUAGGGCAAAUGUGACUGGAAAUGGGGCCCUGCAAGAUCAAGACUUAUUAUACGAAACCUCCUUAAUAAAUGGGUGAUUAUCCCAGGGCUUCUCCACUGAACAGCA